UAAAGGCUUAAUUCAAUUAUAAAUUAGUGGUCUGGAAGUCAAUUUAUGAAACCCUGCUACGUUACUUUAACUGUAACAUUUGGGGGCUUGUCUGGGAUUCCUUUCUUCCCUACCCUCAAGCCAAAUUUGCCUCCAACAAUGGGCCUUUGGACCUCGGCCAAAGUAGAGGGGAGCUCCUGAGAGACAGUCCUUAGCCUCACUCAGAGGGCGAUUCCAGUCCGUCCUAGAAUGCUCUGAGAAGACUUCUGCCAACCUGUCAGACCUGGACUUCCAGAGGAGCACAGCAGAGUACGGGACUUCUGUCAAUGGCGUCACUCUGAGAAAACUCGGAGAUAGAUUGGCCCUCCCUCAAAGUAGGCUGGCCCUCAGAAGUUUCCACUAACCUCUCUUUGGCUAUGGAAGCUCGGCCUGUGAUUUUCGGGAAGCCCGGUCACCCUGACCAAAUUCCAUACAUUCAGGUCUGGGUCGAUAUUCCGAGAAGCCUCGAUGGCUAAAGAAAUGUUUUCCCGACUUCCCAACCAAUCUGUCCACUGGGACUCUGUCCCAAAAAUCUAAAACUGUCCUAGUCACAAAACCCAGACCAGCACCUGGUAAGUCAGAUCCAUCCCUGUCCUGCCAGUGGCCAACUGGCAGCCAACAAAGAGGAGCCUCUCUCAACUGCUCAGCCACCACCCUACCCUGACCAGGUGCCCCAGGCCGCUCCUCAGGCUGCCCCAGAAAGUUCGGGUCUCCCCACACCUGAACCGGAAGCCCCUUAUGCAGGGCUCAUUCCAGUUAACCAACACUGCUACCCUGGUCUGAGUCAAGCAAUACCCCAUCAGCCACCAAGCUCGGCUGGGGAUCACCACACAUAUUAAUGGACUCCAGACAGAAGGGAUCUUGGUCCCUUAUAAGUCCUCCUGGAACAUUCCCCUCUUACCAGUCCAAAAGCGUGGGACUAACAACUACCGAUGGACUAAGGAGAGGUCAAUAAACGAGUAGAGACCAUACAUCCCAGUGUUCCUGAAAAACCAGCCUCUACCUCAGAGCAAAGCCUGUCCAAGGAAGGGACAUGACCUUAGUCCUUGGAAAAACCCACAGAGCACUCCUAAGCACAUUCCCACCCUGCUAAAUUGUUUAUCUACAAAUAACAGGAGAGAUCUGCUGCGCCAUCUGGGAUGCCAGAUGACCCUCCCAGUGGUUUAUGGUGGUUGAUAACAAGUUGGGAAACCAUGUAGUUCAGCACGUACACCCCUCUUGGCUCAAACCAAUCAGUUCAAACGAAUACCCCUUUUGUACUGACCAAUCACCCCUACCUAACUUGUUCCCACCAGUGAAUGUGCUAAUCAUGUUUUAGAGUUGUUAUUUGAUUUUCCCACGGUGUGUGAUGAUUUGCUAAGGGAUGCUAUAAUGUAUGUGAAGUCCCUGCCUUCUCCAAAAAAUGUAUAAAAAUGCUGCAAACCCUGGGCUCGGGGCCUCUCAGCGUCACCAGUUGCUGUGUGUGCGUGUGGAGGACCGAGCUAGCUCGCAAUAAACACCUCUUUGCUGCUUGCAUUGAUCUUGGGUCUCUGGUGGUCUUUGGGGGGUCCCGAAUUCGAGCAUAACAUUCCUAAUCCUUAUAUCCUGCUAGGCCUUCUGUCCCCCAAAUACCAGGUGUACACAGUAAUGUAUCUCAAAGAUGCAUUCUUCAGCCUUCCCUUGGGAAAAGUAAGCCAACCCAUCUUCGCAUUUGAAUGGUCUGACCCAGAGGUGGGAUAUUCAGGACCACUAACCUGGACCAGGCUGCCGCAAGGAUUCAAAAAUUCCCUGACUCUGUUGGAUGAAGCCUUAAGUCAAGAUCUACAAAGCUUCAAGUUUGGAUCUUAAAUGUCCCCCAAAAGCUCAUGCACCGACGGCUGGGAUCCCAACUAAUGAUGCUACUGGGAGGUGGAAUUAUGGCCUAGAAUAUGGAUUGUUGGGAGCGUGCCCUUAAAAGGACCCAGUCCCUUCCUCUCCCUCUCUGCUUCCUAGUGGCCAUAAGGUAAGCAGUUAUUUCCCACCUUGAACUCCCCACCAAGAUAUUCUGCCAAGACAGCCAUGGUGCCAAGCAACCAUGGAUUGAAAAUCUUUGUUUUUCUCAGGCACUUUGUCACAGCAAUGGAAAGCUGUCAGUUGUUACAUAUGUUUAAAAUGGUUAUACAGUAUUUGUUAUAUUCAGUAUUUCCCUUGAUGUAAAAAUAUUAUUUUACAUCUUAAAACUGCUAUUCCAGCCACAAUCCCAUCCCUACACAUUUUUUAAUAGACUGAGUUGCAUAGUUUUUGUUCUUAAAGUGGUUUUCAUUUUUCUCAGAUUUAUCAUCUUUACUCUAAAAGGACAUUUUUAUGUCCCUUUGGUUUACACAUACAUAUGAACCUAUACACUUCUAACAUUCUAACAGUUCAGAAUUUAGUUUUUAGUUGUUGAUGGACCUUUAUUUUAUUCAUUCAUAUGCGGUGCUGAGAAUCGAAUCCAGUGCCUCAUACACGCUACGCAAGCACACUUCCAGUGAGCUACAACCCCGGCACUUGUUUUCUCUUUUAUCUUUGUAUACUAACUUUAUUUCUUCUCUUUCAGUCUCCUAGCUUUCUUUUCAUAAGGACUUUUUAAUUUUUUUUUUUUUUUUUAGUUGUAGAUGUACACUAUAUCUUUUUUUAAUGUGGUGCUGAGGGUCAAACCCAGGGCUCUACAUAUGCAAGGUGAGCACUCUAUCACUAAGCCACAACCCCAACCCUCAUGAGGCCUUUUACGAAGAAUGAUUUCAACUUGGUAAACAUUCUGAGAUCUUACGUGCAUGAGAAUAUAUUUGCACUCUAUCCUUCAACCAGUCUAGGUUAAAGCUGUUUUUUUUGUCCUUUUAUAUGCAGGUUUUAAGUCCAGAGUAAAUAUGAUUAUUAUUCCUGUUAAGUGAUCCACUCUCUUUAGCUUUGAUAUUGGUGAUAUUAAUGAUAAAAUGGCAUUUGAUUGUAGCAUAUUAGUACAUGCAUAUCACACUCAUCAAUUAUUUCCCAUACUAUUCCUGUGAUCCUCUCCUUUAUCCUAAUGGUCUCCCCUUUACUUAUGGUUCUCUCUCUCUCUCACACACACACACACACACACACAAUUUCCCCCUUCAAUUCCCACAUGAGAGAAAACAUGUAUGGUACUUCUCUGAAUGGCUUAUUUAACAUGAUAAUAAUCUCACCCAUUAUCCUGCAAAUCACAUAACUUCAUUUUUCUUUACGAUUGAAUAAUACUCCAUAGUAUGCGCUGCAUUUCUUUUAUCCAUUUAUCUGUUAAUGGACAUUUAGGCUGAUUCCACAAUUUGGCUAUUAUGAAUUGUGCUGUGAUAAACAUGGGUAUGCACUUACAUCUAAAAUACACAAAAUUAUUUUGCAUAAAUAUCAAGGAAUGGUACUGUUUGAUUAUAUGGUAGUCCUGUUUUUAGUCUUUUGUGAAACCUCCAUAUUUAUUGCUAUAAUAACUCUACUACCCAUCCACAGUAUGAAAGGUUUCCCUUAUUCCUGUUACCUCACCAGUAUUUAUUAUUUAUAUCCUGGAUAACUGCUAUUGUGACUGGAUUGAGACGGAUUCUUGCAGUUUUGAUCGGUAUUUCCCUUACAUUUAAAGAUGGUGACAUUUUUUCAUAUAACUAAUUUUUACUACCUCUUCUGAGGAAGUGUCUGCUAGGUUCAUUUGCCCAUUUAUUGAAUGUGUUUUAUGUUGUUAAGUUUUUUACAUAAUCUGGAAAUGAAUCUUUUCUUGGAAGAUUAGCUGGCAAAGAUUUACUCCAAUUUCUUUUCCUUUUUUUUUUCUUCUAGAGAGAGAGAAUUUUUAAUAUUUAUUUUUUAGUUAUCGGCAGACAGACACAACAUCUUUGUUUGUAUGUGCUGCUGAGGAUUGAACCUGGGCCGCACACAUGCCAGGAGAGCACGCUACCACUUCAGCCACAUCCCCAGCCCUUACUCCCAUUUCUUCACUCUCAAGUGUUUCCUCUGCACUACAGAUAGCUUUCCUAUUCUUAAUAUUUCACCAUAUAUUCGGCUUAGAGUUUUUUCCUUAUGUUUUAUAUCCUCUGAGCACAUUCAUUAUGGAUUAUCUUCUUUAAUUCUUGGAAAUGUAAUUUCAUUCUUCAAAAUAUUUUGUGAUCUUUGCUUUUCCUUUACUUCUGGGACCAUUAAACAGAUGCUGGUACUUUUAAUUCAUCCUUCAUACUUUACAAAAAAAAAUUUCCUGUCUUUUGCCUGCUGACCUCUGAAGUUAUUCUGACUAAUCUCACCAAUCAAAAGACUUGAGUCCUAGAUUAUACUAUAGAAACAAGAUGCAACAAAAUACUUGCUACAAUGACAGAUACACAUAAAAAUUUUAAAAAGAUUAUACAUUAAAGAAUGGAAUGCUAUAUGCUAAGCAAAUAUGAAGUGAAAUAAAAGUAAUAUAACAAUAUUGAUAACUGACAAAAGAAUACAAAAGAAAAUUUUCUGGAGGCCACAAAGGAAUAUAUAUGAGCCCCAAAUUAUAUAAAGCCCAAACUUACAAACUAAAAAGAAAUUAGUAAAUAUAAAACUGUAAAAGUGGAGAUUUUAAUAUAUGUAUAUACUUCUCAAAAAUAAAUGAAGCAGUCAAAAAUUAAAUAUAGAGACAUUUAUUAAAGGGAAAAACAUACCAAUUUGUAGAGAAAUUUACACUCAAUACUAAGAAACUAUACAUUCAAGUGCAAAUGCAGACAUUCACAAAAUUGACCACUUAUCAGGCCAUAAAGAAAACAGCAAAUAGCCUAAAAAAAAAAAAUUAUGCCAAUCAUGUUCUCUGAGCAUAAUGCAAUGCAAAAAGAAAGCAAAUAAGAGGCAACU